rnacentral:rRNA from 1 species
GUAGCAACUCAACAAGAAAACCCUACUACUCCCUAUGUUAACCUAACACCAGAGCAUCACAGGAAAGAUUAAAAGAAAGAAAAGGAACUCGGCAAAUAUUAACCUCGCCUGUUUACCAAAAACAUCGCCUCUUGAUAAAAUAUAAGAGGUCCAGCCUGCCCAGUGACUCUGUUCAACGGCCGCGGUAUCCUAACCGUGCGAAGGUAGCGUAAUCACUUGUUCUUUAAAUGAGGACUAGUAUGAAUGGCACCACGAAGGUUAUACUGUCUCUUCUUUCCAAUCAGUGAAACUAAUCUCCCCGUGAAGAAGCGAGGAUAAAAAUAUAAGACGAGAAGACCCUAUGGAGCUUUAAACCACGCAACACCUGCUUUAACUUAACUAAAUUUCAGAAAACCCCNUCUUUAUCCCAGCAGAAUGAUUGCCAGUUUUAGGUUGGGGUGACCGCGGAGCAAAAAACAACCUCCACAUUGAAAGGGCACCUACCCCUUAGCCAAGAGCCACACCUCCACGCACCAAUAAAAUGACAUUAAUUGACCCAAUAUAUUGACCAACGAACCAAGUUACCCUAGGGAUAACAGCGCAAUCCACUUCAAGAGCCCCUAUCGACAAGUGGGUUUACGACCUCGAUGUUGGAUCAGGGUAUCCCGGUGGUGCAGCCGCUACCAAAGGUUCGUUUGUUCAACGA